GUAAAAAGAAAACUUCUGAGGAUCGAGACUGCAGCCCUGAAAAAUUCAGAUCAUAUUUUCAAAGACCAGCUGUGUUUUCUGUUUAAGGUCCUACAUGUGAGAGCUACUGCCUUAGACUGAGAUGGAGAAGAGGAAUGUGUGGCAAUGAUUGGAAAUAGGAUGUCUAGUGAGUUUGGACGUCAAGUAGGGAGGUUUGCCAAGAAAAGAAGAACCAGCAUGUAGGCCUUUGAUAUAUGCUCCAGUGCAAAUGAUAUAAAAGAAGAAUUAAUUUUGCCUCAUUGCUUUUCUGCAGCAUACAAUAAAAAAUAGUGUUUUCUGAUUAUUUGGCAGUGCCUUUUGAUAAGCUCUAAUUGAAAAGAAUUUUUGUACAACAGUAAAAUGUUGAUAAC